rnacentral:lncRNA from 1 species
CGGCGGUACGCGGUAGGCUCAUUCCCGAUGAUGAAAUUUAACAUGUUUUGUCGACAUGCAUAAUGUUUUGUUGUGAAAAUUCACCAAAAUGGCCGCUCUCCGGGAUCGCUGAUUGCUGCAUAUCCUACUUCCGCAACUUGUGAAUCGUUUCCUUCAGAAAUCUAAAUUUGGUCGAGCAUUAUAGCCUGAUUUAACAAUCUUGUAUUUCGUGAAUCUGACCAUUCUCAUUCUGGAACAAGACUCGAGCUAGACGAAAAGUCCCGAAUUUAAAGAAGCAGCAAAAUGGUCCACAGUGUCAACAACACUAAGAGCUGGCCAUCGUCACGGCAACCAGACGGCUGGCAGCAGUUAGCCAAUCAGGUGCUUCGUGAUCAGGAGUGCCUCUACAAUGCCAGCCGAGGGGUGCAGUGCCGCCCUGUUGAGAACGUCCCUGCGAGGGACAUCGGAGUUGCCCUGCGGCACCUCGCUGACAAUUGGCUGUAUGUGAGACAGGUUGGGUACCAGAUGAGGACAAUUGCUGACGAGGUGUAUGCCAGACAUCAGAGGAGACACAACAGGCCGACGUAGCGUUACUGUCCAUUCCUUACUUCCAAGGCUGUUAAACAGCACAAUGAAUAAUGGCGCCACAAGACCAAUCGGAAUCGGGGGAUGGGGGGAUGUGACACUCCCACCCCCCCCCCCCCCCCUCCCUCUAGCGACACCACUGACAAUGGACACUACACAGUGCCGAGUUUUUGAGAAACCAGACGCAUUGCAGAGUUAUUUAAGAGACCAUCCCCAUGACACCCAGCUGAGCAAGAGUUUAUGAAAAACUUAUCAAUGAGCAUUUGAGAAAUGAACUGAUUUCGAGUAAAAGCCACUCGGCAAAAUAUUGUCAUGGUGCCUGUCUGCCAUAUCCACCCAUUCAGUUUAUGUACUGUUACAUCCCGAAAUACAAGCAGAAACUGUCGCUGCAUGUUUGUGAAAUGAUGGCAGUCAUGGCACCAUUAACAAAAUGAUAGCUCACUCCGAGCAAUAAUAGCUCACAGAGCCGCGGCAGUCUUAAAUCCUCAGGCGAAACUGAAUUUGUAUGCCUCUGAUAUGAUUCAAAGGAUUAAUAAUUUGUCUGAUUUCAGUUGACCAACUACAAGUUGCAAAGAUUCAAUCUGCUGCCACUUACUAUGCACAUGAUUUAUCUUCAGUUUUCUGUGCACAUACAGUGAAACUGUUUGUGUAUGUACAUACAUGUAAUUACAUAAUGAGGCUCCCCAACAAAAAUGUGUUUUGUUGGAUAGUAUUCAAUGUUUGGUCAUUUCAUGUGAAAUCUGCAAUUUUUUUUCCCAGAAAUAUCAAUUUUGAUAAAAAAAUUCAGCAUUGAAGGAACUCAUCACUUAAGUUCGACACCCCAGUGUCAAAAAGUCCCGAAUUUAGAGUUCAUCAAAAUUUUGACUUUUUGCGUAAAACCAAGUUUCAGUUUUUGCCGAUACAUUCAACACAUGUUGUGUCAUGCAUCAUUGGACUUCUCAUUGGAUUGCCUUUUGAUUUUGAUGCGUAAUUUGUGAACAUUCAGUCAGUGUGACUCUCAUCUGACCUCUGAACCUUAUUGUGACCUUUAACCAAAGUUUUAAGUCAUUAAUUUGCUUAAAAGUUCAACCUGGUAACUUAUUUAUGUUAUGGCAAUUAAUCGUGUGAUAAUUUGGGUCAAUGAAUUUGGGUCAAAGGUCAGAUAAGGGUCACACAAAGUAAAGGUCCUCAAGGCAUCGACAGAAAGAAAAGUGAUUCGGCUUUCUAAUGAUGUAUAUACAUGUCUGUUGCAUGUUAUGCUGAAAAAUUGAAAUAUUUCAAUAAUUAUCAGCCCCAAAGGUUCAACAUUUUGGUGCUUUGGGAAACUUUCUGACACAGGGGUUGAUUUUGCCUGUGGUGAGUUCCUUAUGCAACAUCAGCACUAGAAUGUCCUUUUUUCAUCAAAAUUGAUGACUCGGAAAAAAUGUGUACAUAUUUUAAGAUGAAAUGACCAUAUUUAUAAACUAUAUUAUUAUUUAUGUGUGUGUGUAUUCCUUGAUAAUGCCUGAGCCAAGUUACUUAUGGUCUCUAUAUAGCACUCUUAUGUUGAUACUGGUGUACUACAGGCAUUCAGGCUGAGGUUGAGCAUUUAUUGAUGUUUUCAUCUAAAAAAUGUGUUAUUUUGUAACCUGGUCUUGUUACCUAAAAUAUUGUCAUCUUAACUCACCAAUGUACUCUUUUGCUUUUCGAAGUUUGUCAACUGCCUGAAUAUAUCCAAAUACUAUUGGAAACUGAAGUUUUCCAGCCGUGCACAAAACAGCAAUAGGCCAUCUAUAAACAAAUCCAAGCACGUGGUCCAUGUACACACAUGAGGCCCCCUUCAAUGGCCAAAGCAUUGUGCAAGCUAUUGUGAAAAGCAACUGCCCCGUGACGGAUUCUCUGAACAAUAGCCGGCAAAUGCUGUCGCCAUUGAAGGGGGCCUUCGUGAUAGAAUUGACAGCAUGCCCAGAUUGGUCUGUGGGUGAAGCUGAGAUUUGCCACUGGCUGGCUAAGCCCACAAUACAUGUACUCCAACAUAUUUCAAAGUGCCUAAAAUACCGAACAUUGAAAUAAUACAAGAGCCCUCAAACACAAUUGAUGUGUACAGUUCAUAAUUUAAUAUUUGCUAGAAAUGGUGUUUAAUAUUAAUUUGGUUAAUACACAAUUGUCUACCUUUAUGAAGUUAUGGUUCACAACUUCAACUUUCAAUACAUAUAUGAUCUACCUCUGUUGAAUAAUAGAACAGACAGUCUGCGGCAAAAAGGAACUUGAAUUAACUACUUAACAUUUAAUCAGGCAUGUUGGCAAAAAUCCUUAACAACAUGGCAGCAAAGUUGACAUAUAAUAUACCCUUGUUACUGUUUUUGUAUUGUAAGAUCAACUGUGUAAGAUAAUUAGUAUGUCCAACAUUCACUAUUCAGGAUUUGUGGAAUAAAAUAUUUGAGAAUAUUAAACUUAAA